AUUGAACGCUGGCGGAAUGCUUUACACAUGCAAGUCGAACGGUAGAGGGGGCAACCCCUCGAGAGUGGCGAACGGGUGAGUAAUAUAUCGGAACGUGCCCAGUCGUGGGGGAUAACAUAGCGAAAGUUACGCUAAUACCGCAUACGAUCUAAGGAUGAAAGCGGGGGAUCGCAAGACCUCGCGCGAUUGGAGCGGCCGAUAUCGGAUUAGGUAGUUGGUAGGGUAAAGGCUCACCAAGCCAAAGAUCUGUAGCUGGUCUGAGAGGACGACCAGACACACGGGAACUGAGACACGGUCCAGACUCCUACGGGAGGCAGCAGUGGGGAAUUUUGGACAAUGGACGCAAGUCUGAUCCAGCCAUUCCGCGUGCAGGAUGAAGGCCCUCGGGUUGUAAACUGCUUUUGUACGGAACGAAAAGGUCUCUCUUAAUACGGGGGACUCAUGACGGUACCGUAAGAAUAAGCACCGGCUAACUACGUGCCAGCCGCCGCAGUAA
rnacentral:rRNA from 1 species